AUUGAACGCUGGCGGCAGGCCUAACACAUGCAAGUCGAACGAGUGGCGGACGGGUGAGUAAUGUCUGGGAAACUGCCCGAUGGAGGGGGAUAACUCCUGGAAACGGUAGCUAAUACCGCAUACCCUCGGAUGUGCCCAGAUGGGAUUAGCUUGUAGGUGGGGUAAGGGGUCACCAAGGCGACGAUCCCUAGCUGGUCUGAGAGGAGGACCAGCCACACUGGAACUGAGACACGGGCCAGAGGCCUACGGGAGGCAGGAGUGGGGAAUAUUGCACAAUGGGCGCAAGCCUGAUGCAGCCAUGCCGCGUGGAUGAAGAAGGCCUGCGGGUUGUAAAGUACUUUCAGCGGGGAGGCGUUACUCGCAGAAGAAGCACCGGCUAACUCCGUGCCAGCAGCCGCGGUAAUAC
rnacentral:rRNA from 1 species